ensembl:lncRNA
UUUGCAGUUUGUAAGUGUUUUGGAGUUUGUUUGUGCUUUGGAGUUUGUACGUGUUUUGGAGUUUGCACGUGCUUCGGAGCUCGUACGUGCUUUGCAGUUUGUAAGUGUUUUGGAGUUUGUUUGUGCUUUGGAGUUUGUACGUGUUUUGGAGUUUGCACGUGCUUCGGAGCUCGUACGUGCUUUGAAAUUUGUACGUGUUUUGCAGUUUGUAAGUGUUUUGGAGUUUGCACGUGCUUCGGAGCUCGUACGUGCUUUGCAGUUUGUAAGUGUUUUGGAGUUUGUUUGUGCUUUGGAGUUUGUACGUGUUUUGGAGUUUGCACGUGCUUCGGAGCUCGUACGUGCUUUGAAAUUUGUACGUGCUUUGCAGUUUGUAAGUGUUUUGGAGUUUGUUUGUGCUUUGGAGUUUGUACGUGUUUUGGAGUUUGCACGUGCUUCGGAGCUCGUACGUGCUUUGCAGUUUGUAAGUGUUUUGGAGUUUGUUUGUGUUUUGGAGUUUGCACGUGCUUCGGAGCUCGUACGUGCUUUGAAAUUUGUACGUGUUUUGCAGUUUGUAAGUGUUUUGGAGUUUGUACGUGCUUUGUCUCUAGGGGCCACCGUAGUUUUCUCGGUGUCAUAAUAAAAAAUAAAGUUGAACAUCACAGAACUAAAUAAGCAUUUGUUUUUAUGAGAAAGCACAAAUAUACAACCCGUUUCCUUAUAAACCAAAAACCAGUGGAUAAACAGACUGAUGAAAAGUGGUAUCCUUUCUCAGGUCCCGACGCCGUGACAAGCCUGCGUCGAAGUCUCUGCAGAGCGCCCUCCAGGAAGGGUUGAAAGUCCAGGGACGCUAAAAUUCGGGUCCUGGCCGACGUCUUACAGGCCCACGGCGCUGGGGCUUGAAAAGAGACGCCCGACAGACCGGCAACAGCGAAGCCAGGUGAUUAUUCCACAUUUGAAGAACCUUGUCCUCAUAAUGACUGGCAUUGCGCUCCUAGAGAGCCUACUGAUACUCACCUGGAAAGACGAGGACCCACAGCACCACCUGCAGAAGAAAUGGUCAUAUAACAACUUACACCUAAAGGAUAUGGAUAUAGUGCAGAACCACCCCUGGCUGAACAAUGCCUGGUACCGGUACGUCUACAACCGAGUACAUACAGAAGACAACCACACUGGCUGCUACGUCUGUUCACACCUCCCAACAACAGCAAUGCAAGCCACCCUAUAUGGAAAAUCACCCAGCCCUAUGUAUAUUCUACAAAGCCACCAGCGGAACAUGUUCCCCCGAAGACAUCUUCUUCUUCAAGUUUGAGUUAAAAAGACAAGGGAAAAUCUUUCAACGUCAGGAGGGAACCAGGAAUACAACAUCCAAUGUGUUUCACCUUCGCAUACGGCAAAAGAAAGCUGGGGAUGAACAAGAACUGCUCCCAGACUUUCCGCAUGCCGCAGGACAGAAAGGCACAGACAAGCUUCCUGAAUGGCACAUAUUGGGUGCAGGGUACAGCUUGGGCAUGUGGCUCAAAGACAUACUUCACCAUCCCACCCAACAGCACCAGACUCUGCGCCCCAAUUUUAGUGUCAGACCACACAUUCAGAAUAUUCCAUCAGGACCAACCAAGACGCAAGAGGAGCACUGAUGACGUGCAACCUCAUGAUCCAAUCUGG